rnacentral:lncRNA from 1 species
GGCUUUCUCCUGAGCCGUCGGAGGGAGCCGGAGCGCUCCUCUUGAGUUGGUGAUCGACCAUUUGUGGUCCAGCAUGCACAAGUGAGUGGUGAAAGGCUGCAGAGCUGAUGGGUCGUGAGGAUGUAAGUGCGUUUGAAGGCUCUCACACUCUCUACUCCAGGGUAAGUUACAGGCCUUCUCUGCCAUUGUUGCUCUGGUUUUACUCUUAUCUUAAUGGUCUUUUGGAGUCCAUGCAAUUUGUGUGCCCUGUCUGAAAGUUCCCAAAGCCUUUAAUGAUUCAGCUCAUAGAUGCUAUUCAGAUUAGUACUUACAAAGAUAAAACCGUGGUCAGGGUAAUGGGAAGGAAUCAGUAUGUGGAAAUAUCUCAACACAAUAAUUUCACUUAGUGACUUUGUAUGAGAUGUGAUUUACAUGGGGGCUGUGGGGAGGAUGUUGGACCUUCCUGAGAUACACUGCAGAGCAUCCUCUCUCUCAGCACCCUCCCCCUCCAUGGAUCACUUUGCAUAACUUUUCCUGCAUUAAUUACCUUUUUUUCAGGUGUUGGGGGGGGGGAACAGCUUGCCAGAGAGUUGAUGAUUCCCAGUUUCACAGAUGAUAUAGCUAAGUACUAGCAAAGUUUUGCCCAGUGUCACUGGGAGUCACUUGUACCCGCUCCCCCACCUCUCUGCAGUCCCUAGUGCAAUGGUGGUGGGCACUGGGAGUAUUUUAAUGAAAGCUGGCUUUAUUUAUUUAUUUUUAUUUUAAAAAGUUUUUUUAGGGCCGUUCCUGAGGCAUAUGGAAGUUCCCAGGCUAGGAAUGAAUCUGAGCUGCAGCUGCCAGCCUGUACCACAGCCACAGCAACGCUAUAUCCAAGCCGUGGCGGUGUCUUACACCACAGCUCUUGGCAAGACUGGAAGGCUGGACCCUUAACCCACUGAGCAGGGUCAAGUAUUAAACCCAUAUCCUCAUAGGUAAUAGUCGGGUUUGUUAUUGCUAAGUCACAAUGGGAACUCCACCAAAGUUGGCUUUAGAUUUUAAUUUCUUCUAGAGCUUAAACUAAAACCAGAUUCAUUGAAGAGAAAAUUAUAAUUAAUAAAAAUCUAAGCAGAGCUAAGGAUGGUUAGAAAAGAGGGAAAAAGGAAGUUAUUUUUUAAAAAAGUACUCACCUGAAAAACUGGAUAGAUGGUUGUUUUAAGCAUUUCAGUUCAAUAGUGUGGAGCCCUUGCUAGAUAAUGUCCCAUUACCCAGGCUCAGACAGAGGGCACCCAGAAAGGCUGAUGUUCUUCAAUGCCUCAUAUGGAUCAGUAAGGAGCGAGUACAAUUUACUAAAUGAAAUAGACAAUUAAGGGCUAUAAAUCUCUGGAGAUUCCCGUAAGCAUACAUUGUUACUGCAUUGGGGGGAUGCACGUGCUUAGAGAUAAGCAAAGCAGAGGCAGUAGCUGCAAGGCUUGUCACAAAAUGAAGAGUCCAGGGGAACAGCCAGAUGCAGACCCCUGCCUAGUGCCUGGGGGUCACUAAGGAAAGGAUUUGGUCUUUGCUAAGCUUUCUCCUUAAAGGAAGGGAGCUAGAUGUUGCCAGCUUUCCUCAUUUUCUUCUGUGGCUCCCAUUUAUUUUCUAUUCUAAAAGUAACUAAAAAGUAUAACAUGCCAGAAAUAGCACUCAACUGGCAUGUUUCUGUUUAAAUACCAUUCAAUGAUCAAAUUAUAGAGGAACCCAUUCUUUAACUAGUGAUUAGAGGGCAAAGAAAGUAAUGCUAGAGAUGCCAGAGGAUCAGGGAUCCUUAUCCUCAGCACCAUUAACAUGCCAAGCCUGGUGAUUCUUUAUUGUGGGCUGUUCACACAUUGUAGCACAUCUUUGGCCUCUACCAGCUAGAUACUCCCCUUCCCCCACCCCAGAAUCGUGAUAAUCAAAAUGUCUCCAGAUACUGCCACUUGUUCCCUGGCCGGUGGGGGGCGGAAUUCUGGUUGAGAAGCACUGCUGGUGGCAUACAGUGAUUUAAUCUUGCUCUGAAUUUCUCUGGGACUGUUUCAAUCAUUAGCCUCCUUUUGCUACAAUUUCCCUACCUGUAAAAUAGACACAGCAUUUGUAACUCAGUAGCCUAAGGAGGUACAUAGUAUUGUGUGACUAUUUGGGAGCUCAUAAUGCCAAUACCUAUAUCCUAGUCUUGUGAAGACAGAGGCUGAGGAGCAGGGGAGUUGGAAGGGUGUGAGAAAUGCGGAAUGGUAUUGGAUUCUGAUUUUACUAGAAGGCUUCCAAUUCUAGUUCAUUUCAACAAUAUACUCUUGAACGAAGGCUUGUGGGGGAGGAUUAAGAAAGGGGACAAUAAAGGAGGGAAAAAGAGGCUAUUUAGAAGAGCAGUCAAGGAGAUUGCUUUUGAUCUGGAGGUGGGGGGUGAUCUCUUAUCGUUAAAGUGAUUUAUGUGUAAUUAGACCAAAGGACAUAAAGAAGUAACCCCCUUGCUCCAAAGAAAAAUAUUCUCCCAAAUGACUACUGAUCCUAGAACAGAUUUUUCAGGUAAUACAACAAAGACUGGAGAGUGUUGGAGAAAUCUGUUUUUAUUCUAGAACAUUUACAUUUCUGCUGCUUCUCUUCUUUGGCUUAUCAAAAAAGGUCAUCUUCAAUCCAUGCCCUUUGAUACAUACAAUGUUUGAGUAUGACACAUGCUCUUCUGAUACUCUUCUAGAACUCUGUAUUGGAAUGCUGAAAAAGGCCUAUCACCCUGACCCAGGCCUGAGGUGAUCACACUAUUUUACUAAGGCAGGGCAAGUGCAGGGAUUAGAUGUAAAUUGUCUUGGUAGGUUUGAAUUCAGCCUUGCUGUGUUUCUGGUCCCUGUAAUUAUUAGACAUACUCACAAAAUUUACAACAAUGCUACCUUGUUGACGCAGACUCAGUGGGUCCAACAUCAGAGGAAAUUCUGUUGGACAGCACUGCUUUAGUCUGUCAGGACCCUGUUUGUUAGAAACCCACCCUUGGAGUGCCAGCAUGUGCUUGUUAUGAAAAGACCUCACCUCAUUUAAAGCAGGAUUGUGUUUUGGACUUCUCCAUCCUAGGGGGCUUUUCAGUCUGUGAGUGGAUCUUGCUGAACUUUUUACCUUGCUGCGGCAUCUGUCUGUUAAAGAAAUUGCCAUGGGCGUGUGUUUCUGACAUAACUGAGUUCACUGUCUCUAAAAUAUUUGCUCUUUAAUCCAAGGCUGCUGAACCGUCUCUUUCCAUUUGGUCUCUCCGUGCCCUAACCCUCAGUGGCAAAGCUUGUUUGUGCAGGAUGUCUCUUUUGAUACUGCCUAGAGCUUCAGCGUCUGGGAGAGGUGGUGAGAGAGUUUUCACCUCCUCUUCUUUCAAGCCCC